GUGGGGAAUUUUGGACAAUGGGCGCAAGCCUGAUCCAGCAAUGCCGCGUGCAGGAAGAAGGCCUUCGGGUUGUAAACUGCUUUUGUACGGAACGAAACGGUCCGGGUUAAUACCCUGGGCUAAUGACGGUACCGUAAGAAUAAGCACCGGCUAACUACGUGCCAGCAGCCGCGGUAAUACGUAGGGUGCAAGCGUUAAUCGGAAUUACUGGGCGUAAAGCGUGCGCAGGCGGUUUUGUAAGACAGGCGUGAAAUCCCCGGGCUCAACCUGGGAAUUGCGCCUGUGACUGCAAGGCUGGAGUGCGGCAGAGGGGGAUGGAAUUCCGCGUGUAGCAGUGAAAUGCGUAGAUAUGCGGAGGAACACCGAUGGCGAAGGCAAUCCCCUGGGCCUGCACUGACGCUCAUGCACGAAAGCGUGGGGAGCAAACAGGAUUAGAUACCCCUGUAGUCC
rnacentral:rRNA from 1 species